AUUGAACGCUGGCGGCAGGCCUAACACAUGCAAGUCGGACGGUAGCACAGAGGAGCUUGCUCCUUGGGUGACGAGUGGCGGACGGGUGAGUAAUGUCUGGGGAUCUGCCCGAUAGAGGGGGAUAACCACUGGAAACGGUGGCUAAUACCGCAUAACGUCGCAAGACCAAAGAGGGGGACCUUCGGGCCUCUCACUAUCGGAUGAACCCAGAUGGGAUUAGCUAGUAGGCGGGGUAAUGGCCCACCUAGGCGACGAUCCCUAGCUGGUCUGAGAGGAUGACCAGCCACCCUGGAACUGAGACACGGUCCAGACUCCUACGGGAGGCAGCAGUGGGGAAUAUUGCACAAUGGGCGCAAGCCUGAUGCAGCCAUGCCGCGUGUAUGAAGAAGGCCUUCGGGUUGUAAAGUACUUUCAGCGGGGAGGAAGGCGGUGAGGUUAAUAACCUCGCCGAUUGACGUUACCCGCAGAAGAAGCACCGGCUAACUCCGUGCCAGCAGCCGCCGCGG
rnacentral:rRNA from 1 species